ensembl:lncRNA
ACGCCCAGAAAGUCUGCUUUAAUUGGUCUUGUGCAUCCUGGGCAUUAGGAUUCUAGUGUGUGGCAGAAUUUGAAAUGGCAACCCACUCCAGUAUUCUUGCCUGGAGAAUCCCAUGGACGGAGGAGCCUGGAGUGGAGAAAUGCCUUUGUUCAAUAACUUGGAAGAAAGAGAAGUGGAUCUGAAGGGGAUGGGAUUCAACACCCACUCCCACAAACUGUGAGACUGAAGGCAGAAUUAGGACACUGAAGAUCAAGUUCUACUCCCAAGAUCAUUCAGGCAACAUUUCCGGUGCUAAGCAAGCCUUGGGGAGAACUGCCUAAAUCAGAAAGCAAGGAUGUUUAACUUUCUAGAGCUUCUGGUUUAAAAAGAAGACAAGCUAAGGAAUUCCGUGGUGGUCCACUGGUUAGGGUUUCAAGCUUUCACUGCUGUGGGCCCAGGUUUGAUCUCUGGUCGGGCAACUAAGAUCCCACAAGCUGUGCGACAUGGGUGAUCUAGCGACAAGAAAGUGUGGUUCCUUCCCCUCAAGAUGCUGACAGUCUCAGAGAGGAUAUAGAAAUAAGAUAGAAAACUAUACGACUCCCACCUCCAACCUAGAAGAGGAGCCCAUCCCUACCAGCAGACUUGUCUGAAGAAGGUGGUCUGGGACAGUUUGUGGAGGAGGUAACCCUGGCUCGUCAAUUUCAGGCCCUAUAGCCUUGCCUUCAAAGGGCUUCAGGAUCUUUGUCUCCUGACAAGUCAAACUUACUUCCGGUAUCCAUCCAUGCUCUCCUGUCUGACUUUGCUCAAGAUUGCAGAGUACAUGGGAGCAAGGAAAGCACUUGUGUUCCUCACCACAGCGUCCCCAGAGACCAGCGCCCUGGCAUUUAGCUGUGCUCAGUGCUUAAGUGAAUAAGUGUGGUUUUUGCCAGCUCAAAGCCUGAGCGGCUUUGAAGACCCAGGUCAGGCUUGGCCUUUGUCUAGCUAUCCCAACAGCAGGGAGUGACUACCACCUACAGGAAGGUCCUACAUUCUUCCUGAGCUCUUCCAGGCUUGGAAGCCUUGUUGGCAGCCACGAGGUCUGGAAUCACACGCUGGUGCUGCCUGCCUCAGACACGGUAUAUCUGCUUCUGCCUUAGUUUCUCUUUGUGACUAGACUCCUUCUCUGAACACCAGCCUACUGGUCCGAGACUGUCAACCAGUUCUUUCCAAAACCUUCCCUUUGGGGGCUGGGUCAUGUUCCAUUUAUCCUCAGCUGUGAUUCUUGUCCUCCUGUGAAUGGGCUGAUGGCACAGAACCAUGGAACUGGCCCAAACCUGAUUUGGUCAUCAGUGCCUUGAACCUCGGUGACCUUUUCCACCAGCACCUGCUGCAGCCAAGUUAGCUGGACCCGUUCACUGCUCAGCCACUGCCAUUUCCCCAGCCCUGACCUAUCUUCUUCCUCCUUCCUCCCUAGUCUGUUUGCUAACCCUUGCCUGGAGUUCCCUGCAGGCAAGUCGGCCCUAGGUUAGGUAGCCCUUUCCAAAUGCAGCUUCCUCCCUGCUUUGCCCUUUCAGGAUGUAAUAUCAGUCUCUCCCCUUGAA